rnacentral:rRNA from 1 species
UGCAGUCGACGGUGAAGCCCAGCUUGCUGGGUGGAUCAGUGGCGAACGGGUGAGUAACACGUGAGCAACCUGCCCUCCACUUCGGGAUAAGCCUUGGAAACGGGGUCUAAUACCGGAUAUGAGCUCGCAUCGCAUGGUGUGGGUUGGAAAGUUUUUCGGUGGGGGAUGGGCUCGCGGCCUAUCAGCUUGUUGGUGGGGUGAUGGCCUACCAAGGCGUCGACGGGUAGCCGGCCUGAGAGGGCGACCGGCCACACUGGGACUGAGACACGGCCCAGACUCCUACGGGAGGCAGCAGUGGGGAAUAUUGCACAAUGGGCGCAAGCCUGAUGCAGCGACGCCGCGUGAGGGAUGACGGCCUUCGGGUUGUAAACCUCUUUCAGCAGGGAAGAAGCGCAAGUGACGGUACCUGCAGAAGAAGCGCCGGCUAACUACGUGCCAGCAGCCGCGGUAAUACGUAGGGCGCAAGCGUUGUCCGGAAUUAUUGGGCGUAAAGAGCUCGUAGGCGGUCUGUCGCGUCUGGUGUGAAAUCCCGAGGCUCAACCUCGGGCUUGCAUCGGGUACGGGCAGACUAGAGUGCGGUAGGGGAGACUGGAAUUCCUGGUGUAGCGGUGGAAUGCGCAGAUAUCAGGAGGAACACCGAUGGCGAAGGCAGGUCUCUGGGCCGCAACUGACGCUGAGGAGCGAAAGCAUGGGGAGCGAACAGGAUUAGAUACCCUGGUAGUCCAUGCCGUAAACGUUGGGCACUAGGUGUGGGGCUCAUUCCACGAGUUCCGUGCCGCAGCUAACGCAUUAAGUGCCCCGCCUGGGGAGUACGGCCGCAAGGCUAAAACUCAAAGGAAUUGACGGGGGCCCGCACAAGCGGCGGAGCAUGCGGAUUAAUUCGAUGCAACGCGAAGAACCUUACCAAGGCUUGACAUGUACGAGAAAGCCCCCGAGACGGGGUUCUCUUUGGACACUCGUACACAGGUGGUGCAUGGUUGUCGUCAGCUCGUGUCGUGAGAUGUUGGGUUAAGUCCCGCAACGAGCGCAACCCUCGUCCUAUGUUGCCAGCGGGUUAUGCCGGGGACUCAUGGGAGACUGCCGGGGUCAACUCGGAGGAAGGUGGGGAUGACGUCAAAUCAUCAUGCCCCUUAUGUCUUGGGCUUCACGCAUGCUACAAUGGCCGGUACAGAGGGCUGCGAUACCGUAAGGUGGAGCGAAUCCCAAAAAGCCGGUCUCAGUUCGGAUUGGGGUCUGCAACUCGACCCCAUGAAGUCGGAGUC